GUGCUUACUUUGGUAGCAUGUAAUCUAAAAACUGGAACAACACAAAGAAGAUUAGCAUGGUCCCGAUCUGCACAUGGGUGACAGGCAAAUUCAUGAAGCGUGCCAUAUUUUU
ensembl:snRNA U6 U6 spliceosomal RNA